CCCGGCCUAUACAUGCAAGUCGAACGCACUCUCGUUUAGAUUGAAGGAGCUUGCUCCUGAUUGAUAAACAUUUGAGUGAGUGGCGGACGGGUGAGUAACACGUGGGUAACCUGCCCUAAAGUGGGGGAUAACAUUUGGAAACAGAUGCUAAUACCGCAUAAAACCUAACACCGCAUGGUGUAGGGUUGAAAGAUGGUUUCGGCUAUCACUUUAGGAUGGACCCGCGGUGCAUUAGUUAGUUGGUGAGGUAAAGGCUCACCAAGACCGUGAUGCAUAGCCGACCUGAGAGGGUAAUCGGCCACACUGGGACUGAGACACGGCCCAGACUCCUACGGGAGGCAGCAGUAGGGAAUCUUCCACAAUGGACGAAAGUCUGAUGGAGCAACGCCGCGUGAGUGAAGAAGGUUUUCGGAUCGUAAAACUCUGUUGUUGGAGAAGAAUGUAUCUGAUAGUAACUGAUCAGGUAGUGACGGUAUCCAACCAGAAAGCCACGGCUAACUACGUGCCAGCAGCCGCGGUAAUACGUAGGUGGCAAGCGUUGUCCGGAUUUAUUGGGCGUAAAGCGAGCGCAGGCGGUUUCUUAAGUCUGAUGUGAAAGCCUUCGGCUCAACCGAAGAAGUGCAUCGGAAACUGGGAAACUUGAGUGCAGAAGAGGACAGUGGAACUCCAUGUGUAGCGGUGAAAUGCGUAGAUAUAUGGAAGAACACCAGUGGCGAAGGCGGCUGUCUGGUCUGUAACUGACGCUGAGGCUCGAAAGCAUGGGUAGCAAACAGGAUUAGAUACCCUGGUAGUCCAUGCCGUAAACGAUGAGUGCUAGGUGUUGGAGGGUUUCCGCCCUUCAGUGCCGCAGCUAACGCAUUAAGCACUCCGCCUGGGGAGUACGACCGCAAGGUUGAAACUCAAAGGAAUUGACGGGGGCCCGCACAAGCGGUGGAGCAUGUGGUUUAAUUCGAAGCAACGCGAAGAACCUUACCAGGUCUUGACAUCCUUUGACCACUCUAGAGAUAGAGCUUUCCCUUCGGGGACAAAGUGACAGGUGGUGCAUGGUUGUCGUCAGCUCGUGUCGUGAAAUGUUGGGUUAAGUCCCGCAACGAGCCAACCCUUAUUACUAGUGCCAGCAUUA
rnacentral:rRNA from 1 species